GAUGAACGCUGGCGGCGUGCCUAAUACAUGCAAGUCGAGCGAACAGAUGAGGAGCUUGCUCCUCUGACGUUAGCGGCGGACGGGUGAGUAACACGUGGAUAACCUACCUAUAAGACUUGGAUAACUUCGGGAAACCGGAGCUAAUACCGGAUAAUAUAUUGAACCGCACGGUUCAAUAGUGAAAGACGGUUUUGCUGUCACUUAUAGAUGGAUCCGCGCCGCAUUAGCUAGUUGGUAAGGUAACGGCUUACCAAGGCAACGAUGCGUAGCCGACCUGAGAGGGUGAUCGGCCACACUGGAACUGAGACACGGUCCAGACUCCUACGGGAGGCAGCAGUAGGGAAUCUUCCGCAAUGGGCGAAAGCUUGACGGAGCAACGCCGCGUGAGUGAUGAAGGUCUUCGGAUCGUAAAACUCUGUUAUUAGGGAAGAACAAAUGUGUAAGUAACUAUGCACGUCUUGACGGUACCUAAUCAGAAAGCCACGGCUAACUACGUG
rnacentral:rRNA from 1 species